GGGUAGUCCUGGGGAAGGCAGUUCGCCUUGGAUUCCUUAAAAAGCAAUAAAAAAAUAAAAAACGUGUGUUUUCAAGACAGGAUGUCGACAAGGAUGGCACAUCUGUGUACGGAGACCCCCUGUGCACAGGCGACUUCAUUUCUACAUAGCUGCUUUCUGGAAGCUUGCAGGCCCAAUAAAAGGAAAUGCCCUGCCCAAGGACACCUAGCAGGUUGGCAGACCAGAAUUUGGUAGAUCUUCAGAUGGCCUGGUCACUUUCCCCAGCACUAGCUUGUGGUUACCCUUGCUUGGCUCACAGGAAGCUGCCAAGGAUGAGCACAGUGAAGCUGAGGCUGCCUGCUCCAUCCGCUCUCCAGCAUCUGGAAACUCCUCCCUCCCUUCUCCACCCACCUUACUCCCCCUCUCUGCCCAAAGGUGAAUAAAGUCACGAAGUGUCCUUAUACAAUCCAGUUGUUCCUGCUGGGAUCUCC